rnacentral:rRNA from 1 species
CAAUAGCGUAUACUAAAAUUGCUGCAGUUGAAAAGCUCGUAGCCGAACUUUGGUCCUAGUGCAGUGGGUCCGCCGAAAGGUGUGCACUCGCUGGACGGGACUUUUUCUUCCGUGGUCCUUCGUGUGCCCCUUAACUGGGGUGCUGUUGGGCUCGGAGACUGUUACCUUGAAAAAAUUGGAGUGCUCAACGCAGACGCAUACGUCUUGAACAGUUCAGCAUGGGAUAACAAAAGAUGCUCUCGAUCUUGUUUUGUUGGUUUCUAGAUUAAGAGAAUGAUGAAUAGGGACAGUCGGGGACACUCGUAUUUCUGAGCUAGAGGUGAAAUUCUAUGAUUUCAGAAAGACGAACUUCUGCGAAAGCAUUUGUCAAGGAUGUUUUCAUUGG